rnacentral:rRNA from 1 species
UACGGGGGGGGCAAGCGUUGUUCGGAAUUAUUGGGCGUAAAGAGCUCGUAGGCGGUUUGUCGCGUCUGCUGUGAAAACCCGAGGCUCAACCUCGGGCCUGCAGUGGGUACGGGCAGACUAGAGUGCGGUAGGGGAGAUUGGAAUUCCUGGUGUAGCGGUGGAAUGCGCAGAUAUCGGGAGGAACACCAGUGGCGAAGGCGGCACUCUGGGCCGGAACUGACGCUGAGGAGCGAAAGCAUGGGGAGCGAACAGG